CCACCACGAUGACGGCGAUGAGGCCGGCGGUGAGGCGCUUCAUGGAGAACUUCGGGGGAAUCUCGUCCAGGGCUCCUCAGGCUCAAGCACAACCUGGAAAAACGAAGGUGUUAAUGUUCCAUGAGGCAACUGAUGACCAAUGGGGAGCAGGAGCUGGUGAAUGAAUGUUCCCUUCAUCCAUCCUGCAGCUUCUACAUUGUUCUUCAUCUCUGGGAAAUCAGUGACCCAUGGACUGGACAAUAACUUUGAGCCAUGCAGUCAAAAUAAAAUGGAAUAUUUAAGUGAAAGAUCAGGUUCUGGAAAAUAAAACUGCUCGUAGCUGCAUAUUAUCUACCGAACUUAGGUGGAUUCUCAGAAAGAAAAAGGUGAUGUUCACUGGCAUGAACAGUGAAUGGUGGAGUGGAACGUGAACAGGCUGGAGCUCUGGCUGUGCCAUUUAUUAGCCAUGUGCCUUUAGAAGGUCCUCAUCUUCUCCAGCCUCAGUUUCACCAUCUGUAAUGGUAGGUAAGAACCUCUACUUCAGAAGGCUGUUGGAAAGACGAAAUGGUAUGAGACAAAAUGAAAUAAUGACAUCCUAAGUGGAAAGGGCUCGCCUGGGGUCUGGUUAACAAGUAUCACUGCCUCAGGAGUAUCCAUGACCCAGAGAGAGUAUCAGUGUCAAGAAUCUGCCAGUGAGAAAGUGAUUUGAAGCAGCUCUGGAGUUCAGAUGGCCACGGGUGCAAGUGCCUGCUCUGGUGUGCUUUGCCUCUGGAAAGAUGCCAAGUCUUUGAGAAUCUUUGCUGCAUCAGCCAUGCUACAUCCUGAGGACUUGGAGGUGAGGAAAUCCUGUGUGCACUUGUUUCCUUCCCUUCAAAUGAUAUAUCCCAGAAAAAUGGCAAGCUCUCUGCUUACUAACUCUUUUCUUUUUCUUUAGUUCCCCCUUAGCUUUCUCUCUCCUUUCUUCCGUCUUUCUCUUGCCUCCUUUCAUUUUUGGUAAAAUCCAAAGCGAAAUGUCAACUCAGAGGACAUAGCUGUUUGUCUUCACCACCUACAAACUGUAUUUCCUGGAUCAAGCCGCUUAACUCCAUUGAACUGUUUUUAGCAUCCUGAAAAUGGGGAAUCACACUUUCCACUUAUCCAAGCAUUUGCUCAUUCGUUUAUUAAUAAUGUAACACCCUUGAAUGCCAGGCCCUGAACUGAAGAUAUGGUCCUGACCCACUGGGUAGUCACAGGAGAGUGGAGAAUAAUGCUUCAUUUGCUAUGUUGCUUCAAGAAUUACAUAAAAUAAGGCAGUUAAAAAUAUUUUGUGAACCAAAUAGUGCAUUAUGAAAAGAUAUUAACACUUCUUACUUUCUUAUAGCAAUUUCUAAAUGAUUUAAUUUCUGCCAUCAAAAUAUCCCCCUUGUGUUGAUCUAAACCAUCAGAUUGCAAGGUAAAGCCCUGAUGUAACUGAUGAGAUGAAGAACACUGUAUGGCCAUUAUUUUAGGUACGAUAAACAUUUGACUUCUCUUACAGAGACCUAAGGAAAAUGACUUAAAUAGGGUAGAAAUGUCUUUCUCAUGUAACAAGCCAUGCAUUAGCAGACCAGGGCUAGUGUGACAGUUCCUCCAUGGGUCACUGUGUGGUUCAUUAAGGUGUUGUCCUCCUUGGCAUGACCCACGAUGGCUGCCAGUGUAACAGCUGAAUGUCAACCAGCAAGACAGAGGUGAGGGGUGGGGAGGAGGGCAUGCCUCUUCCCUCUGAGAAAUUGCCCACCUACUUCUGUUUAUGUCCCAUGAGCCAAAAUUUAGAAUUAGGUGUCUCCACCUAGCUUCAGGGAGGCUUGGGAACUGAAGUCUUUAUCCUGGGCAUUCUAGCAUACCCUACAUCCAAUCUGUCAAAGUUGCAUUUAGAAUCCAGCCCCUUCUCACCACCUUUACUUCUUUCAUGGCGGUCCAAGCCACUUUCACUGGAUGACGGCAGUAGCCACCUAACUGGCUUCUCUGCUUCUUCUCUUGCCCUCCACUGAAAUCUUUGCUCAGCGCACGUUGAAUAAUGACUCUUUUAGGAUGUAAGCCAGAUUUUUCAACUCCUCUGCUCAAACCCCUGCAAUGGCUUGCUAGGCCCUGUGGGAUUAGGCCUUUGCUACCUGUCCCUUCCUUCCAUCCUCCCUCCUCCCUUGCUUACUCCACUCCAGCCACAUCUGCUCCCUUCCUGGCCUCAGGAAGGCAGACAUGCUGUUGGGUAGGGAUUUUCAUCGGUCGUUCCUUCAGCCUAAAAAUUGUCCAUUUCAGAUAUUCACAGGGCUCAUUCCCUCGCCUCCUUCAAAUCUUUCCUCAAAUGUCACCUUCUUAUAGAGGUCUAUCAUGACUUCUCUACUUAAAAUGGCAAGACCUGCUUCCCAACUUUUGGCACUCCUAAUCUGCCUUAUCUUAUUCUUUUUUUUUUUUUUUUUUUUUUCACAGCAGGGACAUUUUCUAAUAUAGGUUUAUACUUUACUUAUUUACUAUCUUUAGUGUGUGUGUGUGUGUGUGCCUCUUCCCUUGCUAGAAUGACAGCUCCCUGAAGGCAAGGAUUUUUUUUUCUUCCCUGAUGUAUCCCCAGUACCUAAAAGAGUGCCUGGUGUAUAAUAGAUAAUAAAUAUUUCUUGAAUAUAAGCUUGCAUGAAGAGAUGGAGCCGAAUCCAGUUCUGAUGACAUCAUUUGAGCUCUGGUUCCAUGUGCCUAAAGCAAGAAUUCUACACUUUUCAGUUCCAUGGGUCAAUAAAUUUUCUUGUGUUUAUUUAUUUAAUUGGAAGACUAUUAUUUAACUAAAUCAAUUAGA
rnacentral:lncRNA from 10 species